rnacentral:rRNA from 1 species
UAGAAACAGAUGCUAAUACCGGAUAACAACAGAUGAUGCCUAUCAACUGUUAAAGAAUGGUUCUGCUAUCACUCUUGGAUGGACCUGCGGUGCAUUAGCUAGUUGGUAAGGUAACGGCUUACCAAGGCGAUGAUGCAUAGCCGAGUUGAGAGACUGAUCGGCCACAUUGGGACUGAGACACGGCCCAAACUCCUACGGGAGGCAGCAGAC